UUCCAUUGGUGCCCAGUGACAGGACCAGAGUCAGUGGGCACAAACUGAAACACAGGAGGUUCCCUCUGAACAUUAGGAAAUACAUUUUUACUGUG